UGGGGAAUCUUGCACAAUGGGCGAAAGCCUGAUGCAGCAACGCCGCGUGCGGGAAGACAGCCCUAGGGUUGUAAACCGCUUUCAGCAGGGAAGAAACUGACGGUACCUGCAGAAGAAGAUGCGGCCAACUACGUGCCAGCAGCCGCGGUGACACGUAGGCAUCAAGCGUUAUCCGGAUUUAUUGGGCGUAAAGAGCUCGUAGGCGGUUCGGUAAGUCGGGUGUGAAACUCUGGGCUCAACCCAGAGAGGCCACUCGAUACUGCUGUGACUAGAGUGCGGUAGGGGAGCGGGGAAUUCCUGGUGUAGCGGUGAAAUGCGCAGAUAUCAGGAGGAACACCAGUGGCGAAGGCGCCGCUCUGGGCCGUAACUGACGCUGAGGAGCGAAAGCAUGGGUAGCAAACAGGAUUAGAUACCCUGGUAGUCCACACCGUAAACGAUGAAUGUUAGCCGUCGGGCAGUAU
rnacentral:rRNA from 1 species